UAGGGAAUAUUGCAAAAUGGGCGAAAGCCCGAUGCAGCAACGCCGCGUGGGCGAUGAAGGCCUUCGGGUCGUAAAGCCCUUUUUGAGGGGAUGAGGAAGGACAGUACCCUCAGAAUAAGCCUCGGCUAACUACGUGCCAGCAGCCGCGGUAAAACGUAGGAGGCGAGCGUUAUCCGGAUUUACUGGGCGUAAAGCGCGUGCAGGCGGAUUGGAGAGUUGGAUGUGAAAGCUCCCGGCUUAACUGGGAGAGGUCGUUCAAUACUUCCAGUCUUGAGUGCAGUAGANGGAAGUUGAAUUCCGGGUGUAGUGGUGAAAUGCGUAGAUAUCCGGAGGAACACCAGUGGCGAAAGCGGCUUCCUGGACUGUAACUGACGCUCAGACGCGAAAGCUAGGGUAGCAAAC
rnacentral:rRNA from 1 species